AGCAGUAGGGAAUCUUCCGCAAUGGACGAAAGUCUGACGGAGCAACGCCGCGUGAGUGAUGAAGGUUUUCGGAUCGUAAAACUCUGUUGUUAGGGAAGAACAAGUACGAGAGUAACUGCUCGUACCUUGACGGUACCUAACCAGAAAGCCACGGCUAACUACGUGCCAGCAGCCGCGGUAAUACGUAGGUGGCAAGCGUUGUCCGGAAUUAUUGGGCGUAAAGCGCGCGCAGGCGGUUUCUUAAGUCUGAUGUGAAAGCCCACGGCUCAACCGUGGAGGGUCAUUGGAAACUGGGGAACUUGAGUGCAGGAGAGAAGAGUGGAAUUCCACGUGUAGCGGUGAAAUGCGUAGAGAUGUGGAGGACACCAGUGGCGAAGCGACUCUUGGCCUGUAACUGACGCUGAG
rnacentral:rRNA from 1 species